rnacentral:rRNA from 1 species
UGGGGAAUAUUGCACAAUGGGCGCAAGCCUGAUGCAGCGACGCCGCGUGGGGGAUGACGGCCUUCGGGUUGUAAACUCCUUUCGCUAGGGACGAAGCUUUUUGUGACGGUACCUAGAUAAGAAGCACCGGCUAACUACGUGCCAGCAGCCGCGGUAAUACGUAGGGUGCGAGCGUUGUCCGGAAUUACUGGGCGUAAGGGCUCGUAGGUGGUUUGUCGCGUCGUCUGUGAAAUUCCGGGGCUUAACUCCGGGCGUGCAGGCGAUACGGGCAUAACUUGAGUACUGUAGGGGUAACUGGAAUUCCUGGUGUAGCGGUGAAAUGCGCAGAGAUAUGGAGGAACACCAGUGGCGAAGGCGACUUUCUGGUCUGUAACUGACGCUGAUGUGCGAAAGCGUGGGGAUCAAACAGG